rnacentral:rRNA from 1 species
UACAGAGGGUGCAAGCGUUAAUCGGAGUUACUGGGCGUAAAGGGCGCGUAGGCGGUUAUAUGAGUGUGAUGUGAAAGCCCCGGGCUUAACCUGGGAAGUGCAUCGCAAACGAUAUGACUGGAGUACAAGAGAGGGUGGCGGAAUUACCGGUGUAGCGGUGAAAUGCGUAGAGAUCGGAAGGAACGUCAAUGGCGAAGGCAGUCACCUGGCAUCAUACUGACGCUGAGGCGCGAAAGCGUGGGGAGCAAACAGG